GAUAGAGAGGAUAGACAAACUUCUUGAUGACGAAAAGAACAGGAAAUUCAGACUCCAUCUUGGAUGAGAAGACUUUGACCCGGGUGACUGAGGGAUAUGAUUGAAGUUCCAAAAGUAGCCUUCGUCGAAGUGGAAUCCUUUUUGCUCUAAAAAGCAAUCCGUAUGAUGAACUGAAUCACCCAUUGAAUUACCCCAAGGUUGGUAAGGAAAAAGAAGGAUGAAAGCUGCAAAUAGGCUUCACUAGAGGGAUAACUUAUGCUACCAAAUCCGUUUCUAUUGCUGAAAGACCGUCUGCUACCACUUCACUUAUUAAGAUGCUCUCGCUAUUAAGAGAAGGGGACAUCUCCUAACUGUGGUAAUUGUCGUGUAAUAGGAUGUGUUGAUAAUAGAGUAUUUUGCCACAAAACCUUAUACCGUAGUAGUUGAUGUAGCCCCAAGCCCCUCUUCUCUCUAGCCUUUGAUUUUUUGAUAGAGACCGAUCUGCUUUUGUUGGCAAGUUCGGAAGAAGGCUUUGAGGGGUGGGCCUUUCGUACUCAAAUCCGUACGGGGAUAAUGAUUCAGUGCACUAAAAGAUAGUGGAUGGGGUUUAAUAUUCAUGAAAAGCCAGGUUUGAAAUGAUCCAUAUUACGGAACCAAGACAACCUAUCUUACAAAUAAAAGGGUUAAGGGCCUCCAACGCCUAUAAAUAGAAGCUUUUUUCAGCCUCUAUUUGGCAAAGGUCGCCUGGGUUUUUUUAUUGCAUGAAAAAAAGAGGAAGCAUAGACAAGAGCAAGAGCAACGGUUUACUCGGUUGAAGAAAUAGAGGCAUAAAUCAAGCUAGCAGCAAACCUCGUGGCAAAGCUAUAAGUCACAAAUUUUAUAUCAAUAGAAGAUCUCGUGCCUGCAGGAGCAGCUUACCCCAUAGCAUAACAGUGAGAAGCACUAAUUGAGG
rnacentral:lncRNA from 1 species